rnacentral:rRNA from 1 species
UACGUAGGGUGCGAGCGUUGUCCGGAAUUACUGGGCGUAAAGAGCUCGUAGGUGGUUUGUCGCGUUGUUCGUGAAAACUCACAGCUUAACUGUGGGCGUGCGGGCGAUACGGGCAGACUGGAGUACUGCAGGGGAGACCGGAAUUCCUGGUGUAGCGGUGGAAUGCGCAGAUAUCAGGAGGAACACCGGUGGCGAAGGCGGGUCUCUGGGCAGUAACUGACGCUGAGGAGCGAAAGCGUGGGGAGCGAACAGG